rnacentral:lncRNA from 10 species
AAAGCCCCGCCCCCCGCGCGUUGCCGGGAGACGGCGCCCAACCUUCCUCUGCAGCGCCCCUACCGACCCGCGCUCCGCAGCUCCUGAGGGCUUUCGAGCCCAGAUGGUCAUCUGAGACGAGAGGUGGCGGCGAAGGAGAGUCUCGCCUGUCACGCUCCCGGAGCAGGGGCUUCAUGAGGUGGCCAUGGAAACAGCCUGGCAGACUCCCAUCUCUCCUGGUGCCAUCUCCGGAGCGGAAAGUGGAGCGCCCCGCUGGCGACCAAGGCCGCACUGAGAGCCCUGGUUUGGUCAACAGUUGGGCUCCAAGUCUACAGGUUUCUAGGCCCUUGGUGAGUGAAGAGCAGUUCAUUACGAAAUGACCUCCAAGAACAAGGCUCAGCAUUCUCUGAAAUCUCAUGAAGCAGUGUAACCAGCUCUCAAGUAUCUUCCUGUGAACUAGCCACAGGGAGCCCUGGUAUUCCUUGAACAUGCAUACCUUUCCCAGCGUGAGGGACAUGGACCGUGCCGUGCGAGGGACCCCAUCUUCUGCAGCAGGAGGGAGCAGAGAAGAGAACACAGGGAUUCCUGUUGCUAAAAGGUCUGUUUUCUCCUGCUAGCCACCCUCAUCAGCCAGAGUUCAAACCCUGACAGUGCCCAUGGAGAGAUCUGGUCCAAGGCACCAACCUCUUCCUGCUGGACUGAGAAAGAGCCUCCUACUGUGUCUCUCUUUACCUCAGCUUUUGCACACCUCCAAUAUAUUGUCCACUGAAGUCAGAAUAAUCUAAAAAUAAAGGCUGAUUACCUCAUGUGGUAUAAACUUA